AGUGUCCCCGGUGUUUAAAAACCCAUUCGGAGAAGAGGGCCGGCACAAGCCCGGUCCCCCGCCCGCCCCGGAAUACCCGGCGGCCUGAGGUGUUGACCACUUUAUUUGGGCUAAAGGCGUUUGGUAGCUGAUUUUUUAAGUUUUCUUGGGGAAAUUUCCACGGCUUAAACUGUGAGGGCGUUUAAAAGAUACUGGAAUUUUAGGGACCGGGAGAAGGUAAGAGGUACUUUCAGGGGUAGAAGUGAAAAUUCUGUAAUCCCUUGAGGGACCCACCGAUGGCGAAGGCAUCUUACCAGAACGGCUUCCGCCAGUGAGGAACGAAAGCUGGGGGAACGAACGGGGAUUAGAUACCCCGGUAGGGGCGGAGCCCGUACCCCUAUGCGCGUUAAAAAGAAGAAAGGUAACUACGAGUUACCGGGGUGCCGGGUUUUUUUUUUGGGGGACGUGCCGCCUGGGAAGUACGGUCGCAAGGCUGAAACUUAAAGGAAUUGGCGGGGGAGCACAAAAAAAAGGUGGAGCCUGCGGUUUAAUUGGACUCAACGCCGGGCAGCUCACCGGAUAGGACAGCGGAAUGAUAGCCGGGCUGAAGACCUUGCUUGACCAGCUGAGAGGAGCUGCAUGCCCGUCAACAGUUCGUACUGGAAGCAUCCCCUUAGUCAGCCAACGACCGAGAACGAA
rnacentral:rRNA from 1 species